CGCCCCAAGCAGUUUUACGCCCCUGUUGUUCCUCAUGCGUCCAGUAGGGGGAGGCUGUAUAUUAGUAUAUGAGCCCAGUCAUAUAUCAGAACAGCAGACCAUAUCUAUAUGUAUGAUAGCAGCAGACCUUCUUGAAGCGAUACGAAUUGAGACUGUAAGAAAAGGCACAUCUUGGAGGCUGAGGAGAAAUUCCUGCGAGGACCUGUCAUUGAUGCAAGUGAGUGGGAGGACUUUGACAGCAGGAUAAAAAAAACAAUUAAAGAAGAGUGGCAAGCCAUA